CGCCGCCGCAGAUAGUACACCGGCUAUCUAUCCAUCUAUCUACUCAGCUUUGCGUCCUCCCGCGAAUUCACCGCAGCAAUGGCGUCCCUCGUCGCCGUCCAGCCUGUCGCCGUGAAGGGCCUCGCCGGCAGCUCCAUCUCCGGCAGGAAGCUCGCCGUCAGGCCGUCGCCCCGGGCGCUCUGCCGCACCACCCGCAGGCCGCGCGCCGCCGUGGUGGCCAAGUACGGCGAGAAGAGCGUCUACUUCGACCUCGAGGACAUCGGCAACACCACCGGGCAGUGGGACCUGUACGGCUCCGACGCGCCGUCGCCGUACAACCCUCUCCAG
rnacentral:misc_RNA from 1 species